rnacentral:rRNA from 1 species
UGGGGAAUAUUGGACAAUGGGGGCAACCCUGAUCCAGCCAUGCCGCGUGAGUGAUGAAGGCCUUCGGGUUGUAAAGCUCUUUUGGCGGGGACGAUGAUGACGGUACCCGCAGAAUAAGCCCCGGCUAACUUCGUGCCAGCAGCCGCGGUAAGACGAAGGGGGCUAGCGUUGUUCGGAAUUACUGGGCGUAAAGCGAGUGUAGGCGGUUGCCGUAGUCAGGUGUGAAAGCCUUGAGCUCAACUCAAGAAAUGCACUUGAUACUGGGUGACUAGAGGACCGGAGAGGAUAGUGGAAUUCCCAGCGUAGUGGUGAAAUACGUAGAGAUUGGGAAGAACACCAGUGGCGAAGGCGGCUAUCUGGACGGUUACUGACGCUAAGACUCGAAAGCGUGGGGAGCAAACAGGAUUAGAUACCCUGGUAGUCCACGCCGUAAACGAUGGGUGCUAGACGUUGGCGAGCUUGCUCGUCAGUGUCGCAGCUAACGCGUUAAGCACCCCGCCUGGGGAGUACGGCCGCAAGGUUGAAAACUUAAAGGAAUUGACGGGGGUCAUAGCUGUUUCC